rnacentral:rRNA from 1 species
UGAGUACGAGAUGCUACGGCAUCGAAGCAGUCUAUGUCAUACUUCCAAGAAAAGCUUGCACUGUCAGAAACAGAUAAUGCCUGUACCAUAACCGACACAGGUGGGUAGGUAGAGUAUACUAAGGGGCGCGAGAUAACUCUCUCUAAGGAACUCGGCAAAAUGACUCCGUAACUUCGGGAGAAGGAGUGCCUUAUUUUUAAGGUUGCAAUAACAAGAUCCAAGCAACUGUUUACCAAAAACACAGGUCUCCGCUAAGUCGUAAGACGAUGUAUGGGGGCUGACGCCUGCCCAGUGCCAGAAGGUUAAAGAAGUCGGUUAGCAUUCGCGAAGCUGGUAACUGAAGCCCUGGUGAACGGCGGCCGUAACUAUAACGGUCCUAAGGUAGCGAAAUUCCUUGUCGGGUAAGUUCCGACCCGCACGAAAGGCGUAAUGAUUUGGAUACUGUCUCGGAGAGGGGCUCGGUGAAAUAGACUUGUCUGUGAAGAUGCGGACUACCUGCACCUGGACAGAAAGACCCUAUGAAGCUUUACUGUAACUUGAAAUUGAAAUUGGACUUUAUUUGCGCAGUAUAGGUGGGAGGCGUUGAAAAUAUUCUUGCGGGAAUAUUGGAGCCAUCAGUGAGAUACCACUCUUGUAAUGUUAGAUUUCUAACUUUAUAUCAUUAUCUGGUUAAAGAACAGUUUCAGGCGGGCAGUUUGACUGGGGCGGUCGCCUCCCAAAUGGUAACGGAGGCGCACAAAGGUUUCCUCUGAACGGGUAGAAAUCGUAUCUAGAGUGUAAAGGCAUAAGGAAGCUUGACUGUGAGACCUACAAGUCGAGCAGGGACGAAAGUCGGUCUUAGUGAUCUGACGGUGCUGAGUGGAAAGGCCGUCACUCAACGGAUAAAAGUUACUCUAGGAUAACAGGCUGAUCUCCCCCAAGAGUUCACAUCGACGGGGAGGUUUGGCACCUCGAUAUCGGCUCAUCGCAUCCUGGGGCGGUAGUACGUCCCAAGGGUUGGGCUGUUCGCCCAUGAAAGCGGUACGCGAGCUGGGUUCAGAACGUCGUGAGACAGUUCGGUCCAUAUCCGGUGUAGGCGUUAGAAUAUUGAGAGGAGCCUUCUUUAGUACGAGAGGACCGAGAAGGACAUACCUCUGGUGUACCAGUUAUCGUGCCAACGGUAAACGCUGGGUAGCUAUGUAUGGAGUGGAUAACCGCUGAAAGCAUCUAAGUGGGAAGCCCACCUCAAGAUAAGUAUUCUCAUC